AUUUGGGAAGAAAUUGUUUGUGUAAUUCGCGUUUUUGUACACUCUUAUUGGUACCUUAUCCACGAAAAACACAAUUUGGUGAGUAUUCCAAAGAACUGAGUAGGUGUGAAAAUCCUCAGUGGGGUCAAACCAUAAAACAUGUCUCAUCUCACGAUUACCAGUUCCAUUCUUGUACACAUUUGUUUGAAUAAGAUAAGGUUCACCUGUCCUAUUCCCCAAGAACUCAAAAUCUAAUUCAUCUCUUGUUGGUCCUGCUCCAUCUUCUGUGCACAUAUAGUAAGCUGUCACAACACCAGCAGAGUCACCUCCCACCAAUUUCAACUUCAUGCUAAACCACCCAAAUCUAUAUUUCUGUUUGGUCAUAAAUCCACAUCCUGCUUUUUUUGUCCAAUGAUAAAUACCAGAUCUGUCCAUCUUCAGAAGUCUUGAAAUGAGUUUCUGGACAACUUUUACUAAAAUUGUCAUCAAAUGAACCUUGUACUUCAGCUUGUG
rnacentral:misc_RNA from 1 species